rnacentral:lncRNA from 1 species
UUGUGAAAUAACUUCGAUGAGAAGAAAAAAGAAGGCAUUAGGAGACCCUCCUGGCCCAACCCUAUGUUAGUAUGUAAGUUGUUGUACUGAUUAGUAAACAUUACAAGAUUGUUAUGUGUGUCAUGUCUCAGCUCAUAGGCUGAGCUAUUGUGUAAAAUUGUGAUGUGUUGAUUAAGUCUCAUAGGGCUUAUCAUUUGACAAGUGUCUUGAUCUUAAGAUAGGUUGUGAUGGUUGGUUGAGAUUGAAUUGAGGUUAUGAUUCUCUCUCUCUCAUCUUUGUCAUCAGAUAUAUGUCUCUUCGGGUUGUUAUGCCCAUAAUGCAAUACAAUGAUAGAAGUUGAAAGGCUAUGCUCUGUGUGUGCUCUCUCUCUCUGAUUUCAUCUUCUAAAUCUUACAAUCUUUCUCUCAAAUCCUGUUAGACUUAGUUAUAUUAGUUGUAUUGCUGGAUUCCAACAUGGUAUCAGAGCCGAGUUCGAUCUAGAUUUCUGGGCGUUGUUUCUACGAGUGGGUCUCGGAUUCACAGCAAAAGCUUAUUGCGGUGAUUCGAGUAUCUAAUAUGGCAGGAUCUGGAGGAGGAGAACUCCGGGCACCAAUUUUCAAUGGUGAGAAUUUUGAUUUCUGGCAAAUCAAAAUGAAGACCAUCUUUCGCUCGUAUGAACUGUGGAAUAUGGUUGAGAGUGGGUACAGAGCUCCGGCGAAGGAAGAGGAACUCACAGAGGCGGAGAGGAAGCUGCUGCGUGAGAAUGUAGUUAAGGAUGCUCGAGCACUGGGUAUUAUUCAAGGUGCAGUUUCAGACCAAAUUUUCCCGAGGAUUGCAACUCAGGAAAGUGCGAAGGCUGCGUGGGACAUUCUGAAACAAGAGUUCGUUGGUGAUAAACAAGUAAGAUCUGUGAAACUUCAAGGUCUUAGGCGAGAUUUUGAAUAUACUCGCAUGAAUGAUAGUGAAUCUCUUUCUGUGUAUAUUGCUAAGUUGUUUGAUCUGAUUAAUCAAAUGAAGAGUUAUGGUGAAGAUCUAAGUAAUCAAAGAGUUGUUCAGAAAUUGUUAAUCAGUUUACCUAAGUCCUAUGAUAGUAUUGCAGCAGUGAUAGAGAAUACUAAGGAUUUAGACACCAUAGAUGCACAGGAUGUUGUAGCUAUCUUGAAAGGUUAUGAACAACGGUUGGAUAGACAUGGAGAGAGUAGUAUGGAGAAAGCAUUUGCUAGUUUGAAGUUUGUCCCGAGGUCAAAUAAGUUCAAUGGUCAGCCAAACAGUAACAAAUAUCACAAGAAUUUUAAGCCAAAAGAGAAACAAUGGAGUAACAAGGGUGAUUGGAGCAAUAAGGGUGGAUUCACUGUGAAAAAUGAGGCAAACAAUACUGGAGAUAAGUGCAAGUUUUGUGAUAAACUUCACUAUGGAGAGUGUUGGGUUAAAAACAAAGUUAAGUGUCACAAGUGUAACAAAAUUGGGCAUAUUGCAAGGUAUUGUAAUAUGAACAAGACUGUGCAGCAUGUGAACUUUGCUAAUCAGGUUGAAGAAACUGGAAACUUGUUUUAUGCAAAUCAUUCUGUAGAAGUAAGGAAGAUAAGUGAUGAAUGGUAUAUAGAUAGUGGAUGUAGUAAUCAUAUGACAUCCAGAGAAGAUCUACUUGUUGAUAUUGACAGGAAAGUGAAAGCAAAAGUCCAAGUUGGCACUGGAGUUUUGGUUGAAGUUGAAGGGAAGGGAACACUGAUCAUUGAAACUGUAAAAGGUCGAAGAUAUAUAAAAGAAGUUAUGCUUGUACCUGGUCUUACAGAAAAUUUGUUAAGUGUGGGACAAAUGACUGAGCAUGGUUAUUUUCUGUUAUUUGGAGAUUAUAAAGUGGAUGUGUUCGAUGAUAGAUCCUUACAAAACCUGGUGGUCAGUGUGAAACAGAGAGGAAAUAGAUGUUUUCCCUUAAUCCUCAACACAAACAAGGAGCUUGCAUUGAGGACAAAUGUGCAGGAGUGUGUUAGAAUUUGGCACAAGAGGUUCGGUCAUCUAAAUUUCAGAAGUCUCAAACUGUUACAGAGUCAAGAAAUGGUUUUGGGGCUGCCUGAAAUCCAAGACAGUGAAACUGUAUGUCAAAGUUGUGCACUGGGGAAAAAUCACAGGGAACCAUUUCCCAAAGAAUCAAUGUGGAGAGCAAAGGAACCUCUUGAACUAAUACACUCGGAUGUGUGUGGUCCUAUGCAAACAUCAAGUUUGAGUGGCAAUCGAUAUUUCAUUACUUUCAUAGAUGAUUUUUCAAGAAUGUGCUGGGUAUAUUUCUUGAGAAACAAAUCAGAGGCCUUCUAUGUGUUUAAGAAAUUUAAAGCCAUGGUUGAGCUUCAAAGUGGAUAUCAUGUAAAGAAGCUAAGGACAGAUAGGGGAGGUGAGUUCAACUCAAAUGAGUUUGGAAAAUUUUGUGAAGAUUUGGGGAUAGAAAGACAGCUCACAAUUGCAUACUCUCCACAGCAGAAUGGAGUAGCAGAAAGGAAAAACAGGACGAUUGUGGAGAUGGCAAAGUGCAUGAUCUUUGAGAAAGGACUUCCAAACAAUCUCUGGUGUGAAGCAGUAAACACAUAUGUGUAUUUGCUUAACAGGAGUCCUACAAAAGCAGUGAAGAAUACUACACCUUUUGAGAAAUUCAGUGGAAGAAAACCUGGGGUUAAACAUUUGAAGGUGUUUGGUUCAGUUUGCUAUUCUCUUAUUCCAGGGAAUCUAAGACACAAAUUAGAAGAAACAAGUGUCAUGGGUGUUUUCAUUGGAUAUGGAACCUGUGAAAAGGGGUAUAGAGUACUGAAUCCCUUAACUCAAAAGGUCUUGUUGUCUAGAGAUGUAAUUUUUGAUGAACAUGGUAGAUGGGACUGGGAGAAACACAAAGUCAAGGAAGUCUGUAUUCCUUUAUCUGCAAUUGAGUCUUCAGAGGUGGAUAAAAUUGAUGAGAUGUCUGAAUCUCAUGAACAAGAAGGAUCUGAUGGGUCUCAAAUUCAAGCUGGAAGUUCUACAGUUACUGCUAUUGGUGAAUCAAGUAGUUCACGGGUCUCUGCUCAGUAUGAUGAUACUCCACUGAGGUAUAGGAAUUUGAGUGAGAUCUAUGAGAGAUGUCACUUAUGUAUUGUUGAACCUGAAUCCUUUGAUGAAGCUGCACAGGAUGAAGCUUGGAAAAAGGCAAUGAAGGAUGAAAUGAAUAUGAUUGAAAAAAAUCAGACAUGGGAGUUGGUGAGAAGACCCUCAAAUAAGCCUGUGAUUGGAGUGAAAUGGGUGUAUAAAACAAAGCUGAAUUUGGAUGGAACAGUUCAAAAGAACAAGGCUAGACUUGUUGCAAAAGGCUAUGCACAAAAGCCUGGAAUUGAUUUUAAUGAGACUUUUGCACCUGUUGCAAGAUUAGACACAGUUAGAACUCUAAUUGCACUGGCAGCAAAGAAUAAAUGGAAGUUAUUUCAACUAGAUGUGAAAUCAGCUUUUCUGAAUGGAGUAUUAGAAGAGGAAGUAUAUGUUGAACAGCCAGAUGGGUUUGUAGUGCAAGGAGAGGAAGAAAAGGUUUACAGAUUACAUAAAGCUUUGUAUGGUCUAAAACAGGCACCUAGGGCCUGGUAUGGUGAAAUAGACUCAUAUCUUAUGCUUUGUGGAUUUAAGAAAAGUAUCAGUGAGGCAACUCUGUACACCAAAUACAAGGGAGACACAGAAUUGAUCAUAGUAUCCAUCUAUGUUGAUGAUAUUAUAUAUACUGGAAAUUGUCAAGAGUUAAUGGAUGUUUUCAAAGCUGAGAUGAUGUCUAAGUAUGAGAUGACUGAUCUUGGUCUCUUACACCAUUUCCUUGGUAUGGGGGUAAUCCAAACUGAGGAGUGUAUCUUCAUUCAUCAGAGAAAUUAUGCCUUAUCUCUUCUGAAGAAGUUCGGACUACAGAAUUGCAAAUCAGUGAGUACUCCUUUGGUUCCAAGUGACAAACUGAGAAGAGAAGAUGGAAGUGGAAAUGCAGAUGAAGCUCAGUAUAGACAGAUUGUAGGUAGUCUGCUGUAUCUCACAGCAACUAGACCUGAUAUAAUGUAUGCUGCUUGUCUCUUAGCUCGGUUUAUGCAUUGUCCCACUAACAAGCACUAUGGAACAGCAAAGAGAGUAUUGAGAUAUGUUCAAGGAACCCUUGAUUUUGGUUUGGAAUAUAAGAAAGGUGAAGGAACACUCUUAAUGGGAUACUGUGAUAGUGACUGGAGUGGUUCAGAGGAUGACAUGAAAAGCACAUCCGGGUAUGCUUUUACUUUUGGAAAUGGGAUUUUCUCUUGGUCUUCAGUCAAGCAACAAUGUGUUGCAUUAUCCACAGCCGAAGCAGAGUAUAUCAGUGCUUCUGAAGCAACAGCACAUGCUACUUGGUUGAGAUUUGUCCUAGAGGAUUUUGGUGAAAUGCAAACGGUUGCAACACCAAUGAAUUGUGACAAUACAUCUGCCAUAGCCAUUACCAAGAAUCCCAUCUUUCAUCAGAAGACCAAGCAUAUAAACCGAAGAUAUCACUUCAUAAAGGAAGCAUUACAGCAAGGAGUAAUUGAUUUGAUUCACUGUCCUACAAAGGAGCAACUGGCAGAUAUCUUUACAAAAGCAUUGGCAAGGGAGCAGUUCACUUACUUGAGAAAUCUACUUGGAGUGAAAUCAGUUCACAACUUAAAGGAGAGUGUUAGUAUGUAAGUUGUUGUACUGAUUAGUAAACAUUACAAGAUUGUUAUGUGUCAUGUCUCAGCUCAUAGGCUGAGCUAUUGUGUAAAAUUGUGAUGUGUUGAUUAAGUCUCAUAGGGCUUAUCAUUUGACAAGUGUCUUGAUCUUAAGAUAGGUUGUGAUGGUUGGUUGAGAUUGAAUUGAGGUUAUGAUUCUCUCUCUCUCAUCUUUGUCAUCAGAUAUAUGUCUCUUCGGGUUGUUAUGCCCAUAAUGCAAUACAAUGAUAGAAGUUGAAAGGCUAUGCUCUGUGUGUGCUCUCUCUCUCUGAUUUCAUCUUCUAAAUCUUACAAUCUUUCUCUCAAAUCCUGUUAGACUUAGUUAUAUUAGUUGUAUUGCUGGAUUCCAACACCCUAGACACUCUAAGAUCCUUUUUCAAACCUGCUCCCACUUUGAGUCAUCCGAUCGUUGUCACAUUGUGUUGCCAAUAAAUAUGUUACUGACAACAAUGAAAAGGGUGAAUUCACAUCAUUCACGGUUUGCAAGCUCUAAUGAAGCUAGCAAUAAAUUAGAACCCACCCAGUGAACCUAAGCAUAGUGAAAUCAACACAUUGAUCUCUUUGCAAGAAAUUUUAACUUUUACACACUUUUAGUAGCAAACCAUAAACAACUCUUUUUAACAACGAUAUUUUUGGCCACAAAGAAUUAGUGGGAUUGGUUCACUUCCCGACUUUGAGAUCAGUUCUUGAUGAGUUGAAAAUUUUAAGUGUCACCGCCACUUGGUAUUACCAUCCACGCAUUAGUUACAAGAAUGAAAAGGGCGGACUUGCAUCUAAUCCAAGUCCAAGUGUUACUUACAACAAUGAAAAGGGUGAACUCGCAUUGUGUGCGAAUUGGACGCUCCAAUGAAGCUGAACGAAUAGGAACACCAGUUCUGAAAAACCUCUUGCCUUUCAUCUCCCCCGCAACCCAAACACCAAACCCUACCUAAAGCUCCUCCAACCACCGGCCUCUUGUUACGGCUU